rnacentral:rRNA from 1 species
UACAGAGACUGCAAGCGUUAUUCGGAUUCACUGGGCGUAAAGGGUGCGCAGGCGGUUUGGUGUGUCAGAUGUGAAAUCCCGAGGCUUAACCUCGGAACUGCGUCUGAAACUACUCGACUAGAGUACUGGAGAGGGAAACGGAAUUCACGGUGUAGCAGUGAAAUGCGUAGAUACCGUGAGGAACACCAGAGGCGAAGGCGGUUUCCUGGACAGUUACUGACGCUCAGGCACGAAAGCAUGGGGAGCAAAAGGG